ACCCGGCCGCGGUACUUCAUGGGGGCGGAAUGUCAGGUCCGGCGAUGCAAGGUUUGAAGGCAGACUUCGAACAAGUCCGCCAGAUCCUCGACGAGCCCGUGGUCCAAUCCACCGAUACGGAACUCGUGGAGCAGCAGUCUCUGUUUUAAACCUCCCAUGUCGAAACUUCCCUCUGACAACGACCGCUCAAUCACCCUGGAGACCAGGUCUCCAGAAGAGACGCGAAGGCUCGCAGCGGCCCUUUCACCGGUCCUCCUUC
rnacentral:misc_RNA from 1 species